ensembl:rRNA 5S_rRNA 5S ribosomal RNA
UACAAUGGUUUGCCAUAUCAACCUGCAGCCCAAGACCGGUUACUCACUCAACCUAAGCGGGGCUGAGCCUGGUCAGUACCUGGAUGGGCGACCACAUGGAAAAACUAGGUGGCUGUUGGAA